CGGAUGAAGUUUUGAGUCGCUUCCAACUAAGGCAGCUGGGCAUUUCCCACUUCUCUCCAGCCCAGGAAAGCAGGCAGUCACAUGGCCACAUAUAUUAUUCCUUCACCUGGUAUUAUUCACUGUAGAUUUAAUUUUUAUGCCAUUUGGCUCAUGUGGUUUUGAUUAUUCAAGAUUUAAAGCUGAUCGGGAGGAGCUGCAUUUCAGGAAGACACUGGAAAAACAUUGGGGAUGGCAGAUGAGAGUUCACUUUCCCUGUCCAACAGGUGUGAGUAUUCCGAGAGGAGUCCACAGUCUCACCAGUUAAAUGUGUCAGAGCUAGCUUCCUGAGCCAUGCUGAAAGCCUUUAGAAUCCUUCACAAGACCUGGGAAAACGAUGGUUCUGUUUCCUAAUAAUGGACUGCUACUGCCUGUUCAGAAAGUUGUCUUUGAAGACCAGCUGUGACACGCAUUUUUAAUUGAUUGACCUUGGCUAAGAGGAUUGAGAAACUUAAGGAAAGAAAAACAUUCUCCUGUCACCUGCAAAACCUUACUAUACGAUGAUGAACUGCCAGUCACACAGGAAAAGAAAAUCAGACAGACAUUUCUUUUCUGGAAAGAUUAAACUCUCUAGAGGCUGGUAAAAACAAAGAAAAUCAAGUACAUCAUCUUUCAUAUUCACAUCAACCCAUCUAUUGUGGAAAACAUCAGAAAUCAGCGUUUUCUCAUUCAGCUGAAAUAUUAUUUCUGUGCUAUUUCUAGACUGAAGAGACAGAUACCGACGAAGUGAACACAUUUAAUAAUUACCCAAAGGAAAGACACUGAAGAAUCCAAAGCGCAGUCGUGCUCUAUAUCAGCCAAUGCUGCUGCAUCCAGAGAUGGCUGCUGGGAAGAGCAAAUGCUGGUUCCUGGGAGUCACAGAGCUAUGACAUUUCACCAGUAGCUGUCUCCUUGUCUCUCUCAAGUGAUUUUGUAUGUUUGUGUGCGGUAUUUUUUCCUGCUUCUUUUGUGACAAAGUGAGUAUGGAGAAGGACUAGACACAGAUGUCCAGGAGCUGAGUGGAAGGAGGUCAACUUGUGUUGCUCCCAUGCCAUUUAACAAAAAACAUAACAACCAUCAGGUAAACACAGGUGACAGAGGGGGUAGAUUGCUUGUGCUGACAGGCAGGUGGUAACUGCCCAUGUGUGAUCAUGUGGUCUGAAGGCUUUCCCAGAAC